UACGGAGGAUCCAAGCGUUAUUCGGAAUUAUUGGGCGUAAAGGGCGCGUAGGCGGCCUGGCAAGUGGAAGGUGAAAUCCCUCGGCUUAACCGAGGAACUGUCCUCCAAACUGCUUGGCUUGAGUCCGGAAGAGGUGAGUGGAAUUCCCAGUGUAGCGGUGAAAUGCGUAGAUAUUGGGAGGAACACCAGUGGCGAAGGCGGCUCACUGGACCGGAACUGACGCUGAGGCGCGAAAGCGUGGGGAGCAAACGGG
rnacentral:rRNA from 1 species